AAGUACGGGCUAAGUUCGUGCCAGCAGCCGCGGUAACACGAACCGUACGAACGUUAUUCGGAAUCACUGGGCUUAAAGGGUGCGUAGGCGGCCUGGUAAGUUGAGUGUGAAAUCCCCCGGCUCAACCGAGGAAUUGCGCUCAAAACUAUCCGGCUUGAGGAAGGCAGAGGUAAGCGGAACUAAUGGUGGAGCGGUGGAAUGCGUUGAUAUCAUUAGGAACACCUGAGGCGAAAGCGGCUUACUGGGCCUUUCCUGACGCUGAGGCACGAAAGUUAGGGGAGCCAACGGGAUUAGAUACCCCGGUAGUCCUAUCUGUAAACGAUGAGCACUGGAUUGAGGGGACCUCCACAUCUUCUCGGUCGUAGCGAAAGUGUUAAGUGCUCCGCCUGGGGAGUAUGGUUGCAAGGCUGAAACUCAAAGGAAUUGACGGGGGCUCACACAAGCGGUGGAGGAUGUGGCUUAAUUCGAGGCUACGCGUAGAACCUUAUCCUGGUCUUGACAUGCUUGAGAAUCCUCUCGAAAGAGAGGAGUGCCCUUCGGGGAGCUCUUGCGCAGGUGCUGCAUGGCUGUCGUCAGUUCGUGUCGUGAGAUGUCGGGUUAAGUCCCUGAACGAGCGAAACCCUUAUCCCUAGUUGCCAGCGGGUCAUGCCGGGGACUCUAGGGAGACUGCCGGUGUUAAACCGGAGGAAGGUGGGGAUGACGUCAAGUCCUCAUGGCCUUUAUGAUCAGGGCUGCACACGUCCUACAAUGGAUCGUACAACGGGAAGCGAUCUCGCGAGAGCAAGCAAAUCCCAAAAAGCGGUCCUCAGUUCAGAUUGCAGGCUGCAACUCGCCUGCAUGAAGUUGGAAUCGCUAGUAAUCGCGGGUCAGCAUACCGCGGUGAAUGUGUUCCUGAGCCUUGUACACACCGCCCGUCAAGCCACGAAAGUGGGGGGUCGAUGUAGUCGCCGAGCUAACCCGCAAGGGAGGCAAGCGCCGAA
rnacentral:rRNA from 1 species